rnacentral:lncRNA from 1 species
GUGGACCCUGAGCGCCGUCGGAAAGGCGUUAGCGCCCAGGGGGUCACAACCCAGCUUGCUGGAAGGAAACUUGGGGACAUCUGUAAGGAGAGGAAUAGGAAAGACCCGAGGAGAAGCAGUAAAGGAGGUAGAAGCAACUCGCGCUGUUUUGGAGGAGAGUUUCUAGAAGGGUGUGUUAAAUUCAGCAGAGUAUUGAGAAAGAUCAAGACCAAAAAUUGUAGUUAGAUUUAGGAAGGAGGAGGUAACGGAACUUCAAAAGCAAAAUUUCGGGGAGCUAGAAAGGGAAAAUGGAGUCAGGAGGAGCCUUGUCGAAAAACUGGAAGAUGUGAAGGUUGGUGCAGCAUGCGGGGAGGAGUUGCCUUUUUUUUUUUUUUUAAGGUGGGGCGCCAUAACUGUUGGUGGGAGAGAGAGAGGAAAAAGCUAGGUCAGAAAGAGUUUGAGAACAAGAGAGGGGGUGUAUACAGAGAGAGGGCGAAGAGAUGCAAUUUGUUGGCUUUGUCUGGUGUCCUUGGUUUGUGAAUUACUUUCCUGCAUUAUCCCUGUCUUGAGCCACUGAGCUUAAAAAGUCUCAGAAGAUAGGUACUGAAACUGUCAGAAGGGUGUGUAAGCAGGAGGGUGACUGUAUUUACAGGAAGAGCCAAAGGCUGGAAUGCUGUGACUCAAUUAGGAGAAUUAAGUAGAGGCUGGGCAGUGUGUUUAUUCAUUCACCAAACUUUUGCUCAGCAUUGACAACUUGCUAGAUAUUUUUCUGGGUCCUAGGAUACAGCAGUGAAUAAAAUAGACAAAAAUAUCACCUGUCCUAAGGCUGUCAUUCUUUUAUUAGGAGGAGAGCAAAACUACAUAUAAUAAGUAAAUUAGAUUGUAUGCUGGAAGGUAAUCAAGUGUUGUGGGGAAAGGCAGGGUAAGGAGAUCAGAGUAGUCUCCUUGAGAGGUGAGAGAGUAGGUGUUCUAUAUUAGAGGGCAUUCAGUUCAAAGCAAGGUCCUAAGACAGGCUUCAGUUCAAAACAGCAAGGGGGCCAGUGUGGCUGGAGUAGAAUGAAGUAAGAGGUGAGGAAACGGUAGUAGGCUAAGUCAGAGAAAUAAGGGGAAGCCACAGAUGGUUUAGGGAGGUGAUUCUUACAGUGUGGCCCCCAGACUCAGCCUCAGCAUCACCUGGAACUUGCUAGAAAGAUUCUAAGACCCCAUCCCCAGACUUAGAGAAUCAGAAACUCUAGGGGGAAGGGGGAUUCAAGCAAUUAUUUUUGACAAACCUGGGUGAUUCUAAUGCAUGGUGAAGUCUGAGAACCACUUUGGUGCCUUUGUAGACAUUUGUGACUCUGUCUUGUCACUGCCCUCCAGCCAGAGCCCAUUGAACACACCCACACUUAAACAGGUUGGGCUGAUUAUUCCUUGCAGUGAGGGCGCAGACGCUAUGGAAAACCAUCGGGACUGUUCAGUAAUGCUGUGUUAGAGGGACCUAUCGUAGGAUUGAGGCUUCGGGUGACUUGGGAGAGGGUUUAAUGAAGUGACCCUUCACUUUGGAUUGGGUGCUAUCAAAGCAGAGACAAUUCUGUGAUUGGAUAUCUCCGUAAAUAUAAGAUGGGCAAAUUGGAGCAAGGCUAAAGCAGUAAUUGGUAAAGAAGUAGCAGUUACUCACUAGCAGACAGAAGAGGAUGUUUAGUAUUACAUGGGCCGCACAAUGACCUUGAUUUGUCUCUGCUUAGACAGAAUUAUGAAGUGGUCUUAUUUUGUCUCAUUUUAUCAUGGUCUGAGUGACCCUCUCUGAUGUUUGUGUUCUGUGAGAUUGUUUCAUCCAUCAGGAGAAUAACAACGUAGCUGUGAGUGCCAGGUCAGCUUCUAGUAACACUGAGAGCUUUCCUAGAUGAGUCAGACCAGUUCCCAGAUGUCAGGGGUUAGUUUUUUCUUUCUUAGGCUCUUACCCUGAGAGAAAAAGGAAGGCUCUUACCCUGAGAGAAAAAGGAGGAUUUUGAACAGAGAAGUGAUGUGAUCUAAGUUUUAAAAGAAUAGGUCUGACUGCUGCAUUGUGAAGAGACUGUAUGUGGGGCAAGAGAGGAAGCCAGGAGACCAUAGGAGGUGAGAAAAAGGUAAGAAGAUGGAAAGAUAAGAGGCCUGUAAGAGCAGUUCAGGCAGAUCUAACAAACCUCGGAAACAAUAGGACUUCCAGGGCCUCUCGGAUCUAACAGAUCUUGUCAGAAAUCCAUUAAUCAAGGAUUAGAAGUGAGGUUUGAGCAACGUUCUUCUUUUUAUAAAGGAACCUUUUAUGGAAGACACCUUCCAUCCAAACAGCUAAUUCUCUUCUGGUUUAGUCACUAUGAAUGACUUAUAGACACUGUGAGCACUUUAUGCCAGUGUGUGUGUGUGUGUGUGUGUGUGUGUGUGUGAAGCCAUCAUUUCCUGUGUGGAAGGUACAUCGCUAAGAGUUUUAUGUGCUUUAUCAAAGUCAAUCUUCACAAAGCUCUAUGACCUAGAUAGAAUCAUCUCAUUUCUACCAGUGAGGAAACUGAGGUUUAGUGUUGUGUUACCUAUUUCCCUGUUUCUGAGAUCCUGUUGAGUAAGAGAUGUAUUGACAAUGUUUUAGGAGAGAAAAGAUUACAAAAUUAAAUAUAAAUACCCAUUUUAACACUUAUACCUAUUUGAAAAGAGCUAAAAUGUGAAAAAGAAUGCCCCUUAAAAGAGAGGAUAUAUGGUAUAAUUGGCUCCAUUUUACAGUCAGGGAAACCAAGACUCAGGUUAAAUUAUUGCAGAAGGUGGUGUCAGAGAUCAUGUCCCUAAUCUGUGCAUUUUGCUGCUUCUCUGUGUGUGAAAUUGUGAUGAAAUUUUGUGAUUAGUAAUCUCUAGCGAGCUAGAACUCUGUACCUAUUGGUACUCAGUCAUAAGAGGAAGAUUGGGUAGUGCAAACAUUGGCUGACUUCUGAUAGGACCCCCCCCCCCCCCACACACACACCCAGAAAUUGUCACUGUUAGGUCCUGUGACCUAACCAGGCUGAAACUCAACUUUUCCCCAAGCACAUUGUAUCUUCCUUGCUUUGUGCCUUAAUGCCUGCCUGGGAUAUUUUAUCAUACCCAACUAAUUCUGUCUCCUCCCAGCUUCCUAUCCCCAAAGACUGUAAGAUCCUGGCAGAUGGCUGUCAAAUCUCACUUAUCUCUGUAUUCCCAGUGCCUAGUAUGCCUGAACGUAUGCAUACCUUCAGUCUUCUAAUAUUUGGUAAGUUUGCUGAAUGAAUGAAAGUGUAGGGUGACCACAGCCAUAGGGAGAAGAUGUUAUAGUGAACUAGUUGUCAGCCUUAUUUGAGUUUCAGCCUUAAAAAAAAAAAAUCUGUUGAAAGAUACAGACUUGUCCCAGAAAAAUGUGAAUGCCAACAUAAGCAAUCCAUUUUGUGCUCAAUUUCAGGAAUGUUCAUGGAUGCACUGAAGCCCAUCCCUGGACACUAGUUUAAGAAAAUGUAGUUGGUGGGAGCAUAAUUAGCCACAAACUUUGGGCAAAGCAAUGUGACCUACCUUUGACUCUAUAACUUGACGUUUGGAAAUUUGUCUUAGAGGAAAAAAAGUACACAAGAUGCACGUACAAAAAUAUUAAUUAUAUUAAAAGGGUAAAAAAGACCCCCAAACUAAGAAAUGGGAAAAGUGUAUAUUCUGCAUCUUUGUUUGCAGCUUGAGAAAAAUCACAAGAAUGGCUCGUUUAAAAUUAGAUUUUUUUUCUUGGUGGUCUGCUUCAGAUCUCUAUUCAUAAUCCUUUGUUUUCAUAGUUAUUAGUCCUAUCAGACAUACUGUUCAGGGAUGAACUGGUAUUCCAAAUACCAGACACAUGUAUCCUUAUCAUUUACUUCAGUUUCCCCCCUUUUUAAAUUGUGAUACAUACACAUAACAGAUGGUUUACUAUCUUAACCAUUUUAAAGUAUACAGUUCAGUGGUAUUAAAUACAUUCAUAAUGUUGCCCGGCCAUGACUUCUGUACACGUCCAUAAUACUUUUUAUCUUCUAGAACUGAAACUCCAUAUCCAUUAAAUAAUAUCUUCGUAUUCUUCCCUCCCCUCAGCCCCUGGAAAGACCAUUCUAUUUUCUGUCUCUGUGAUUUUGACUUCUCUAAGUACCUCACUAAUGGAAUAGAAUAAACAGCCUAGAAAAAAAAUCCUUGCCUAUGUGGUCAAAUGAUUUUUGACAAGAGUGCCAAGACCGUUCAAUGGGGGAAAGGACAGUCUUUUCAACAAAUGGUGCUGGGAAAACUGGAUUUGGGGCACCUGAGGGACUCAGUCAGUUAAGUGUCCAAGUCUUGAUUUCGGCUCAGGUCAUGAUCUCACAGUCAUGAGAUUGAGCCCUGCAUCAGGCUCUGUGCUGAGCAUGGGACUUGCUUGGGAUUCUCUCUUUCUCUCAAAGUAAACAAACCUUAAAAAAAAAAAAAAAGAAUGAAUUGGACCCUUAUCUCACACCGUAUACAAAAAUGAACUCAAAAUGGAUCAAAGACCUAAGUGUAACACCUAAAACAACGAAACUCUUAGAAGAAAACAUAGGGAAAAAAACUUAAUGACUUUGGAUUUGGCAGUGAUUUCUUGGCUAUUGACACCAAAGGCAGAGGCAACAAAAGAAAAAAAUAGGCAACUUGGACCUCAUGAAAAAUUUGUAAAACGGGUGCAUCAAAAGCCAGUAUCCUUUACUUAGAUGCAUGGAGUUUUUGUUGUUCUUUGACCUACAGCGUAAUGUUGCAUCUUGGGCGAUCCUUCCACAGGCAUCCUCCAUCUUUUUAUGGCCCUGUUUUCAUGACCUUAAGAAAAGAAGUUGUCAUAUUUCUUUCCUAAACUAGUUCCUUUCUUGUAAGGAUUUUAUAUAUCCUCUCUGUUUUCAUACUCUAUCUGACCUGGAACACCCUUUUUGUUAUCUUCUUGCUGCCUUACUGGUUAACAAGUAAAAAAACCCGCAGUGCUCAAAAGAAAUUGUCAAAGGAGUUUUGUUUGGCAAUCACAGCAUUGUUUACGGUGGUAAAAAAAUUGGAGAAAACCUAGAUGUACAUUGUGUCAGUUAUGAAUUUAUCACCCUUCAGCUCCAAGUUCACCAUUCACUGCUUGCUCUUCUCUAGUGGAGCUGGACCUUGUAAAUAUUUGUUCCUUGCUCGUGGGCAUGAUGCUAAGUUUUAUCAAUGGAGGGCCUUGGGGAGAUACUGUAGGAGGAAGAAACUUCUCUUCCUGGUUCCAGCGUGCUUUUGUUCUUGUGCUGUGUGGCUGCCAGUGGCACAAGGGGGGUACCCAGUGGUGCUCACCCCUGUUGAGUUUCAGUGGCCUCUCUGUGGGCUGUUUUCCGUUGAGUUUCAGUGGUACCCCUGCCACUAAAACAGUUUGCCAUUGAGGUCCACCACCAGCACCCCACAGGGUGGCUUCCUGGUGUAUUCUCCUGGCAGACCCAGAGGCCAGAUUCUCAGCAGGGAUCCGCAAACCUCCCAGAACCCCCUCUGGAGACUCCCGGCAAAUUCCACCAGCAUCUAGGGUCGUUCUCUAAUUGUUAGGUCUGGCCUGCAGUUGACUGGAUGUCUCUACCACCCAGUUAGUCCUGGCCACCACAUACUCAACAAGUUUUGGAUCUCCGCCCUGGAGGUGAGGGACUCUUCCAAGUUUGUUUCUUUCUUGGGUGCUUUGCCUCAGCCCUAGACGUGGUGGCUGCUCCUUAGAAACACUAUUUCUGUAUUAUGGGGAGCUUUCUACCUUUUCCUUAGUUAAUAAUUCUCUCUAUUAAGCUUUCUCUGUGGAAAUUGCUGUGUAGUUUCUGUCUCUUGACCGAUCUAUUCAUCGUUAGGAGAAAGAGGAAAUAAGUGUGGAGUAUUAGGUAAGAAUUAAAAAAGGAUAAGUUAGAUUUCUGCCUCAGCCUAGAAAGGACCAACUGCUACGGGAGUUGCCUUCUCUCCGUAAACAAGUAGAAAACUGCACAAAACCUAUGAAACAAUUGUCUUCAGAUCUUGCAAAAGAAGCAGCAGCAUGUGAACUUUGAAAGACAAGAAAUAAAGGAGAUGGGCCUUAAAAUUGCCCCCGCCUACUGCCCGGAAGCAGUUUUCAGACUGCAGCAUGGUGGGGUCACCUGAACCGAGACUAGUCUUGCUGAGUUGUAAAGAAAGACAGCAGGGUACACAGGAGGCCAGAGUGCCAGGAAUUUGCAGGAUGGAGUCCUGAGAAGGAGUUCCACAGGGAGAGAACUCUGGAGAUCUCCGUAGGGGUCCUUGUGAGUCUUUGGCUGAGUUGGUGCGUAGAUGGGCUCAAACUCCAUGAGGCAGGAUAAGAACUGCCCAGAAACAGCAGGCCAAGCACUUCUGGGAGCUCCCAAAGGUGCUAGGAGUUGUGGAAAAUUCCACAGCAUCAGAGAACGCUCAGUGGGCAUUAGAGGGGCGGUAGCUCAUUAGUGGGGAUAAUUACCCCCAGAGCAAAAGCUGCCUUUUGUCCACCAUAACGAAGCUUAAAACAAGCCCCAGAAGAAUCAAACUGAUCCCAAGCAUCCCAGAAGAAAGUCCCACACUACUGAAAGGAAUAUAACGAAGUCCAGCACAUAGCCCUGUAAAAUUCACCAUGUUGAACAUGCAACCAAAAGUUGCCAGGCAUUCAAAGAAGCAGGAAAGUGUCAUCCAUAACGAAAGGAGAAAAACCAACCAUCAAAACAACCCCAGAAAUGACAGAGAUGAUAGAUUUGCGCAUGCAGUCCCUAAAAUGUUUAUUAUCAAUCUUAUAAAAAUGCUCAAGGAUGCAAAGGGAAACGUGAGCAUGAUGUGGAGAAAAAUGGAAGAACUUUUAUUUUAUUAAAAAAACUUUUUUAACAUUUAUUUAGUUUUGAGAGACAGAGGCAGAGCACGAGAGGGAGAGAGGCAGAGAGAGGGACACACACACACAGAAUCUGAAGCAGGCUCCAGGCUGAGCUGUCAACACAGAGCCCAACGUGGGGCUCAAACCCACGAACCGCAAGAUCAUGACCUGAGCCGAAGCUGGAUGCUCAACCGACUGAGGCACCCGGGUGCCCCAACGAAAGAACUUUUAAAAAGACACAAAUUGAACUUGAGGAGAUGAAAAUUACAACCUCAGGUGAAAAAUGCAUCAUAUGGGAUUCACAGAAGAUUAAGACACUAUAGGGGAAAAACGAGUGAACCUGAAAAAGACAGCAAUGGAAACUAUCCAAAAUGAAACACAAGGAGAAACAAAGACUCAAAAAUGAACAGAGUAGCAGCAAGCCGUGGGACGUGUUUGUCCUGGUUACUGGUCUCCUAGACGUGUACGGGAGGUCAUGGAGAAAGGGAGGCAGAAAAAGUAUUUGAAGAAGUAUUAGCCGAAUAUUUUUCCAAUUUGAUGAAGACCAUUAAACCCACAGUUCCAAGAAGCUCAUCGAACCCCAGAUAGAAGAAGCUUGUGGAAAAUUACAUAGUCACAUCAAAGUGAAAUUGCUGACAACUGGUGAUAAAGGCUUUUUAACAGGCACUUACCAUGUGAUUCAAAUACCCCUCCUGAGUAUUUACCCUAGGGACGCUUAUGUUCGCACAGAAAAAACUUCGCAAGUAUUUAUAACAUCUCAAUGCAUAAUAACCCCAAACUGGAAGCAACCCAAAUAUUCUUUGACAGGUAAAUUGAUGAAUUGCUAUGUCCAGCUAAUGGAACAUACGUUCAUUCAGUAAAACAGGACAAACUACUGUACAACAUGGAUGAAGCUCCAGAGCAUUAUGUUCAGUGAAAGAAGCCAGUGAAUGAGCUUAUAAUUCUCUUUACAUGAAGUUCUGGAAAAUGCAAAAGCAGAUCAAUGGUUUCCAGGGGGCAGGGAGGUCAGGGGAAGGAGACUGAUUGCAAAGGGGUACAGGGAACUUGUUGAGAUGAUUGAAAUAUUUUCUCUCUUGAUUGUGGUGGUAGUUACAAGAUUGACACAUUUUUCAAAACUCAUCAACUACACACUAGAAAGGAAUGCAUGUUAUCAUAUGUGAUUUAUACCUCAAUAAAGCUUAUUAUUUAAAAAAAAAAGGAUGUGUUUAGAUUUUUUUUGUUUUUAUCCAUUGACUCAAGAGCCUGUCCAUGAUGUAUUAUUGUGAACAGGAGAAAAGCAAGUUGCGCGGUAGCAUAGGUAGUUUGAUCACCUUUGAUAAAGCAACGCUGAACAAAACCCCUCUAUAUCCCUCUACAUGUGUACUGAUGUUUGCAAGCUGAUGGAAGAUUCUUUGCCAGAAGGGUACACACCAGGCUUGGUUACAUGAUGGGGGUGGGAAUUGAGGGGGAAGAAUGGGGAGGUUGUUAAAUUUUUCUUAUAUGUCUUUUGGGUGGUUCCAUGUUUUACAAUGAGCACCUGUUAUUUUCAUAUUUUAAAAAAGUAUUGAGAAUAAAGAGCAUAUCAAAAUAAUAAAUAGAGAGGUGUGUCUGUAGGAAGAAUUCUGGUGGAGAGAAGGGUCCAUUGUGAUAGUACAGCGAGGUCAAAGGGAUGAAGGUGAGGUCAUUAGACUGGGACAAAAAGAUCUUUUGUAACUGCUGAGAGCAUCUAAGUAGUGGUGAGGGGGCCAGAAGUCAUAAUGUGAUAUAUGGAGGAAAGUUGGAGAUUGGGAAGAAAGGCUCUGAGUGUGGGCCAUUGUUUAAAAAGUUUGGUCAUAAAGGGAAAUUAAAAAAACAGGUUAGGAAGGAACCACAGCAUCAGUUGCAGGUUUUUGUGAGGGAAGGACGAGGAUACUUGUGGCUUCUUGAAGGCCAAGAGAAGAGAACCAGCAGAGAGUUAUUGACCAAAGGUAAUGAAGAAUGGUAUAAAAUGCUGGUGACAGAGCCCUUGAGAUGAUGAGGGCUUUGCAGGGACCGAAAUAAGAGAUGUCUCACUUCCAUAGAAUUCAGUUUAUUCCCUCCACAGCUUCAUAGACCUAGGAACACACCCUACCGAAUCCCUGUCUGUAGUCUAAGGAGCCCAGCUUCCUAACAGAUAGCUGGGCCCUGAGUCCGGGCUUUCACACGGAGCAUCGGCUGUGUGACCUAGUGCCAGUCACUUAGGGUCUCUACACUUCAGUCUUCUGAUUAGUAAAAUGGACUUGGUAAUAAUACCUACUUCCUGUUGUUGCUAUGAGGGAAUACAUACAAAAAGUUUAGUUUGCUACUCAACCACUGGUCUGGGGGCAAUAUCUCUGACAUGUUAUGAGUCUGGGCCAUGUGACCAAUGAUGUCACAAUGCCCUACUAGACUUCAUCUUCUCCAUUAGGGCGUUGCGGAUCCUUUGGAGCCAAGGACUGAACUGCCAUGCAAGACCUCUGCCAACUGAGGGUUUCAUGAGCGCACUCCCUUGCCAAGAUCUUGGUGAAUAGUCUUUCACUGUGCAAUUGUGUCUCAGACAUUGUUUUACUUGUUAUCAUGAUUGUGCUUGGCUGGAUGCUUUUUGUUGGACUUGCAUGUUACAUGGGCACAUUUCCAGAGUUCACGGUAAGUAAUGACCCUGCCUGUGAAUCCCUGGUAGUAGUCAGUCCUGGCUCUGACUCCACCUCCCAGCCAGGGUUUCUGACCAAAUGGGAAAGACAGUUGAGGCCUCAUCACUAAUUAGAGGUCAGGGUGCAGUGGGAACAAAGUUGGCUUCCCAGGCUACUUCUCAACUCACUGGGAUUAUCUUUAAGUUCCACCCACCCCUUGGGUACAUAACAUUACUUAUUUUAAAUUUAUAAGGGGUUUGCUGGAGAAAGUGGAUUUCAGGCAAAGUGGAUCAAUGGUCGCCGGCUAGAAAGGGAAGGUGGGCAUUGGUGGGACCUCCAACAGUCACGGUCACAGACAGAGGCAAUUACCUGCUAGGCCAACAAGUAGAACCGCUUCUGCCUUUAAAUUUCUUUCUGACUCAGCCUCCAACUCUGAAGUGGAAAGAGAAGUGGCCUGUUCAGGAGAGCAAGACACGACUGAGGAGCCUGGCUUUGGAUGAAGAACCACAACUAUGAGUGAGUGGUCAGGUCUGCUGGACUCAAUUCCUCCCUUUCCAGAGAACAUGGCAACCCCUUGAAAUCUCAGUAGGAAGUUUAUAUUCCCCUGGGAAACAAUAAACUGUAGAAAGGGAAGUGGGUUGAGAUAUGUGGUGGGGAAAGAGAAUUCAGUGAGCACUGCUUUGGACAGCAGGCCAAGGCUCAAAGAUUUGUUAAGCACAUCUUAACUGGUAUUCUUCCCAAAGACUAUUCCUGUCUAUUAACUUGUUUUCUCACAAACUCUGUAGUAAGUCGGACCAGCGUUUUUAGCGCCCCUUUUGGCAGAUCCCAAGACAGGUUCAAGUUCUAACUUUGCAACUCACUAGCUACGUGACCUUGGGAAAGUUUAAUCUCUCUAAACCUCAGUUUCUUCAUCUGUAUAACGGAGAUAUCUGUGUAUCUUACUGUUUUUGUGAGGCUUGCAUCUGGGAAUUCAUGUAAAGCAUUUGAUGCAAAGCAUUUACUAAAUGCCAACUUAACAACCAAGCAAAAUAAUGAACGGGUCCACAAAGAUUUAGUGGUGACAGUAACCUCAACUAUUUACCCAAGGCCAUACAAAUCAAUUCCUUUGAGAAGCUGGGAUGCGAGCAUAGUUCUCUGGACUUAACAGCCUCUUGCACUCGUUCCACUAGACCAGCCUGCCUUUAGGAGACAGGAAUAGCAGUAUCCUUUUCACAACCGUCUCCUGGCUUUCUUCCCUCCCACUCCCUUUCACUCAGAUCUGGUUUUUCAAAGGUGUUCCCACUGUUAAAGAAACUUUACUCUGAGAGUCUUAGUAAUGAACUGAUAACAGGAGCAGAUUUUCUGGGAAGCUACUCUGGAAAGCAGUGGUAUCAAGUCCUAACCCCAGGUACACUGAGAGCAGGGCAUGAGGGUUUGUUUGUUUGUUUGUUUUUUUCCAUCGGCCCCAGUAUUUCCAUGCAAGUGUUGACCCAGCUCGGUCAGAUCAUUGUUGGGGUGGGGACGUAGAUGGAGGCCCUGGGCACUUGCUUAGCUGAGGCACUGCCACCCUGAUCCUGACCAAGCCACUGGAAAUGUUCUGUGCCUCAGGUUCUCCAGCUUUGAAAUGAGCAGGACAGCCUAAUGCCCUCUCUUCCCUUUCCAGGGAAGGGAACCCUACACGAUGAGGGUUUAAUUGUGACAUUUCGCGAAAUGUGAGAUGUUCAUUUGUUUGGUUUUUUGCGAAUAGCCUAACGAUAGUCUAUAAAGUAAUUGCUCAUAGCAUACCUAGCCAAUCCUCCCAAUUAAUCCAGGGUAUUUUUUGUUUUGUUUUGUUUGCAUGGCACUGCUUUUUGCAUCUGAUUGCAUGAAAGCAACAGUUAAUAUUUUGACAGGUGAUGAGUUAAUAAAGUUCUGAUGCCAGCUAGAUCCUGACCGUGUAGAGUCACCAGAGAACAGGGCCCUUCUUUUAAGGGUUCUUUGGCCCCAACACACCAGGCACCCUGGCCAGUUGUCCCAUAGUUACUCGAUCUGAUGGGUCCCUCCAAGGUCACAGGAGCUGAUGUCACAAUUGGUGUCUGAGCUCUGCCCCCUAAAAUGGCCAUGGCCAGCCAUUUCAGUUCACACUAGACCACGAAGCCCCUCAGCCAGGAGCUAUCAUGCUGGGCGAUCCGCCAUCCGGUCUGGAAUGAAGACAGCCCAGCUCCCAGGACUCAAGGAAUAGAGCGCCACACCUUUCAGAACCACCUGUUUUCCCCAGCACAUCCCACCAGUGAGCAAGAAGCCCCACAAUGAUUGUUGUUUUAUGGUUGCUUCUCAUUGCAGGAACCAUGUGGAAAGGAUAUAAGUAUCCCCCAGGAGGGGUAAGUGUGCUUUCAACUUUGUUCUCUGUUCCUCCUUUGAAAUUUAUUCCCCCAGAUCCAUGAGCUGAGCAUCAAAAUCCAACUUUAGAAACAAAUCGUCUUUUCUUGAUUAAGAAAGUGGUGGUAGCUUACCUGCCUCUAUUGUUGCUCGCUGAGAGUUCCCUCUUUCACGUCUUUCUUUUAUACAUAUUUUCCUAAGAGUCUUUACUCUUACAUUUUUCAGUUUUAUAUAACCUGGAGGUAGAGAGGUAAAGACUCAGGCAAUGCUGUCUGACAUGGGUGACCUAGUCUUGUGCUCAGGGGCCAUUUUCAGUGCUGGGGUCUUCAGUCCCAUUUCUUAAAUCAGCCCAGACCAGCAACCCACCCUUAACUCUCCCUCAUCAAGUAAAGGGUGGUCUAUAAAAUGGUUCUGGUGCUAGAAAUCUUCUCUCUUCCUGUUAGACCUUGGAUAUGUGUCCUUUCUCUGCCUCUUGUCCGCUCCCACAUGGCUAAGCCCCUCUGGCAGUGGAGGUCAGAGACAUUAAGAGACAGAAUUGGACAGAACCACUUCUGCCUGUCUUUGGCAAGGAAGGCAAUUACCUCAGCCGCACACUCUGGCAGACACUAGAGAAGGCCCACCUGACAUACUUUUGUCCCCCCAGACCCCGGUGGAAGUAAGCAAAGAUGAUCCUGGUGAAGUCAUGCAGCUCUGAAGCUCACCUGGCCUGCUGUAGAGUUCCUGUUGUUGGUUUCGCAUAAAGUAAUUGCACAUUAUUUUGUCACAUUUUAUGUAAAAAGUUACCGUACUUUUUAAGAUGAAGAGCUGAUAUUCUGUUAGCUCAAAACAGGGAGAUGGGGGAGGGUAGUUGGGUUAGACGAACGUGAUUGGGUGCCUCUGUUUCAGUCUCUAAGACUAAAGUCUUAGACUAAAAUACCUAGUUCAAUUUGCCCCCUAUUCUGAAUCCUUAGGGAUAGAAAUUCUCUAAAGCUCCUUUGACCUAGUUCCCGGGUGUAGUCUUCCUCCUGCAUCCAGGGUCCAGGGUCAAAAAAACGUUCAGAAAAUGCUAGAGAUUGCAGCAACUUUAAGCCUAUCUUUUGGGGAUACUCUUCUGUGGCCUUUUCACAGCUGUUACCAACAACCUUCUGUGGCCUUUUCUCAGCUGUUACCAACAACCUUCUGUGGCCUUUUCACAGCUGUUAUCAAGAACCGAAGGCUUACACUGUGUGGGGGAAGGGAUGUCAUUUUAAUAUGAGGUGCUAGAUACUAAAUUAAACAUUACUUUAAUUCUUAUAAGCUUCUGAGCUGGGCACUAGCCUCAUUGAACAAAAGGUUACAAAUGAAGUUGAGAGACUCAAGUAUCUUACCAGCUGCACAGCUCUGGGUUGGAGUUAAGAUCAAGAUCCAGGCCUUCUCCUUGGCAUACUUUUAUGUGCCAAGGAAAAGAGCCAAACAAGAGACUGGAAUAUCCAAGAUCUUGGCUAUCUCUUGGCUCAAGUGCCCCCUUCAUUUGAAUAGCCAAGAAGGUGCCUGAUGAUUCUUUUAGCAGUAACCACUGCUAAUACAGGGCAGCAUGCAUACAUAGAAACAAAAGCUAAGUGCUCAGUCCUCAAUAUGAUGCAGUUUGAGUUUGAGACCAAGUAUGGAAACUUAAGACCCAUGCAAUUAAUCUAGGUGUUUCAGCCCUAGGAUAUUCCUCAUAAGCCCUCUCUAGGGGUGGUUUGGAAUUUUCUGACCUUAACGGGGUUGGGGGGGGGGAGGGGGAAGAAUCCAACAAGAACAAGUACUUCUAAAAUAAACUGUAUGGAAACUUUCCCAUUCUGUGGCUACUUGGGGAUGACUGAUAGUUCCAUCAUUCAGAAGUGCAUCCUUACCACCAAAGUAGAUCUUUUUGGUUAUGUAGAUAACAUUUUGUUGAGGACUAUUUAGCACA